rnacentral:rRNA from 1 species
UACAGAGGGGGCAAGCGUUGUUCGGAAUUACUGGGCGUAAAGGGCGCGUAGGCGGCCUUCUAAGUCGAACGUGAAAUCCCCGGGCUCAACCCGGGAACUGCGUCCGAUACUGGAAGGCUUGAAUCCGGGAGAGGGAUGCGGAAUUCCAGGUGUAGCGGUGAAAUGCGUAGAUAUCGGGAGGAACACCAGUGGCGAAGGCGGCGAUCUGGGUCGAUACUGACGCUGAGGUGCGAAAGCCAGGGGAGCGAACGGG